rnacentral:lncRNA from 1 species
GCCAGAGAUAAGGAUGAACUCUGAAGUCAGCCAGAUCUUGGCCAUCCUUCUCAUUCUUCUCAACCUGGAAGGCUCCAUCUAUGAAAGAGACAGGAAUAAGAGGCCACCUGGAAAUAUUUUUCCGUUAAUGAGGAACUAAGAGAAAGAAGAAAUUUUGGUGUCCUGUUUGUGUGUUUUAAUCACA